UUCCCGGUUGAUCCUGCCGGAGGUCCAUUGCUAUUCGGGUUCGACUAAGCCAUGCGAGUCGUGAGGGGUUAAGCCCUCGGCGAACUGCUCCGUAAUGUGCAGUCAACCUACCGUUAGGAAGGGGAUAAACUUGGGAAACUGAGGCUAAUACCCUAUAGCUUCAAAUUUCUGGAAUGAUUUUAAAGCGAAAGCUACGGCGCCUAACGAUGGAGCUGCAUCCUAUCAGGCUGUUGAUGGUGUAAAGAACCAUCAAACCGAUAACGGGUACGGGCUAUGGAAGUAGGAGCCUGGAGAAAGAUUCUGAGACAUAAAUCUUGGUCUUACGAGACGCAGCAGGCGCGAAAACUUUGCAAUCUGCUAACGCAGGACAAGGGAACCUGAAGUGUUCUUGCUAUGCAAGAACUUUUGCAUUCUGAAAACGGGAAAGCGAAUAAGGGCUGGGGAACACGGGUGCCAGCCACCGCGGUAAUACCCGGGGCCCAAGUGAUGGCCAUGAUUAUUGGGUCUAAAGCGUCCGUAGCCGGUUCAAAAAGUCCCUAGUGAGAUCCUCUAGCAAACUAGAGGGCGUGCUUGGGAUACUUUUGGACUUGAGACUGGGAGAGGGUAGGGAUAUUUUCGGGGUAGGGGUGAAAUCCUUUAAUCCUGAGAAGAUCACCUGUGGCGAAAGCGCCUACCUGGAACAGGUCUGACGGUGAGGGACGAAAGCUAGGGGAGCGAUUGGGAUUAGAUACCCCAGUAGUCCUAGCUGUAAACGAUGCCCGCUUGGUGUUGCAGGUUUUUCGGGAGCUUGCAGUGCCGGAGCGUAGGUGUUAAGCGGGCCAUCUGGGAAGUAUAGUCGCAAGGCUGAAACUUAAGGGAAUUGGCGGGGGAGCACACAAGGGGUGGGCGUUGCGGUUCAAUUGGAAUCAACGCCGGU
rnacentral:rRNA from 1 species